UCCGAAUUGGUCUAGUGGCUAGGAUUUCACGCUCUCACGGUUGUUAACCAAAGUGCCGAGGAGGCCGGGGUUCAAUUCCCCGAUUCGGAG
rnacentral:tRNA from 1 species